CCUACGGGAGGCAGCAGUAGGGAAUCUUCCACAAUGGACGAAAGUCUGAUGGAGCAACGCCGCGUGAGUGAAGAAGGGUUUCGGCUCGUAAAGCUCUGUUGGUAGUGAAGAAAGAUAGAGGUAGUACCUGGCCUUUAUUUGACGGUAAUUACUUAGAAAGUCACGGCUAACUACGUGCCAGCAGCCGCGGUAAUACGUAGGUGGCAAGCGUUGACCGGAUGUAUUGGGCGUAAAGCGAGUGCAGGCGGUUCAAUAAGUCUGAUGUGAAAGCCUUCGGCUCAACCGGAGAAUUGCAUCAGAAACUGUUGAACUUGAGUGCAGAAGAGGAGAGUGGAACUCCAUGUGUAGCGGUGGAAUGCGUAGAUAGUAGGAGGAACACCAGUGGCGAAGGCGGCCUGCUGGGCUUUAACUGACGCUGAGGCUCGAAAGCGUGGGGAGCAAACAGGAUUAGAUACCCUAGUAGGC
rnacentral:rRNA from 1 species